CACGUAGGCGGGUUGCUAAGUCGGAGGUGAAAUCCUGGAGCUCAACUCCAGAACUGCCUUCGAUACUGGCGAUCUUGAGUCCGGGAGAGGUGAGUGGAACUGCGAGUGUAGAGGUGAAAUUCGUAGAUAUUCGCAAGAACACCAGUGGCGAAGGCGGCUCACUGGCCCGGUACUGACGCUGAUGUGCGAAAGCGUGGGGAGCAAACAGGAUUAGAUACCCUGGUAGUCCACGCCGUAAACGAUGGAUGCUAGCCGUUGGCGAGCUUGCUCGUCAGUGGCGCAGCUAACGCUUUAAGCAUCCCGCCUGGGGAGUACGGUCGCAAGAUUAAA
rnacentral:rRNA from 1 species